GAUGAACGCUAGCGACAGGCCUAACACAUGCAAGUCGAGGGGCAGCAUGAAAUUAGCUUGCUAAUUUUGAUGGCGACCGGCGCACGGGUGAGUAACACGUAUGCAACCUGCCUGUAAGCGGGGGAUAACCCGGAGAAAUUCGGACUAAUACCGCAUAAUAUCAUUGAUUCGCAUGUUUCAAUGAUUAAAAAUUUAUUGCUUACAGAUGGGCAUGCGUAUGAUUAGCUAGUUGGCGGGGUAACGGCCCACCAAGGCAACGAUCAUCGGGGGUUCUGAGAGGAAGGUCCCCCACAUUGGAACUGAGACACGGUCCAAACUCCUACGGGAGGCAGCAGUGAGGAAUAUUGGUCAAUGGACGCAAGUCUGAACCAGCCAUGUCGCGUGAAGGAUGACUGUCCUAUGGAUUGUAAACUUCUUUUAUAUGGGGAUAAAGUGUGAGACUUGUCUCAUUUUGCAUGUACCAUAUGAAUAAGCAUCGGCUAACUACGUGCCAGCCGCCGCCGUAACAC
rnacentral:rRNA from 1 species